UUUUGGACAAUGGGCGCAAGCCUGAUCCAGCCAUGCCGCGUGAGUGAAGAAGGCCUUCGGGUUGUAAAGCUCUUUCGGCGGGGACGAAACGGUUCGGGUUAACACCCCGGACUACUGACGGUACCCGCAUAAGAAGCACCGGCUAACUACGUGCCAGCAGCCGCGGUAAUACGUAGGGUGCAGGCGUUAAUCGGAAUUACUGGGCGUAAAGCGUGCGCAGGCGGUUUGUUAAGACAGGUGUGAAAUCCCCGGGCUUAACCUGGGAAUUGCGCUUGUAACUGGCAAGCUAGAGUGUGGCAGAGGGGGGUGGAAUUCCACGUGUAGCAGUGAAAUGCGUAGAUAUGUGGAGGAACACCGAUGGCGAAGGCAGCCCCCUGGGUUAACACUGACGCUCAUGCACGAAAGCGUGGGGAGCAAACAGG
rnacentral:rRNA from 1 species